GAUCUACCGCAGGGUGUGAAGUGGUCACUUGAGUUGCAGUGGGGUAGUGGAACACGCUGUAUCCCAUGUGACCGCUCUACACAGUGCCGUGUC
rnacentral:pre_miRNA from 1 species